CGGGGCGUAGCGCAGUCUGGUUAGCGCGCUUGGUUCGGGACCAAGAGGUCGCCAGUUCAAAUCUGGCCGCCCCGA
rnacentral:tRNA from 1 species